rnacentral:rRNA from 1 species
UACAGAGGUCCCAAGCGUUGUUCGGAUUCACUGGGCGUAAAGGGUGCGUAGGUGGUCGGGUAAGUCUGAUGUGAAAUCUCCAAGCUCAACUUGGAAACUGCAUCGGAUACUAUUCGGCUUGAGGGUUGGAGGGGGGACUGGAAUGCUUGGUGUAGCAGUGAAAUGCGUAGAUAUCAAGCGGAACACCAGUGGCGAAGGCGAGUCCCUGGACAACUCCUGACACUGAGGCACGAAAGCUAGGGGAGCAAACAGG